rnacentral:rRNA from 1 species
GAUGAACGCUAGCGGCAGGCCUAACACAUGCAAGUCGAGGGGUAGAGUUCUUCGGGACUUGAGACCGGCGCACGGGUGCGUAACGCGUAUGCAAUCUACCUUAUACAGGGGAAUAGCCCCAGAGAAAUUUGGAUUAAUGCCCCAUAGUGUUAUCGAAUCGCAUGGUUUGAUAACUAAAGUUCCAACGGUAUAAGAUGAGCAUGCGUCCCAUUAGUUAGUUGGUAAGGUAACGGCUUACCAAGACAAUGAUGGGUAGGGGUCCUGAGAGGGAGAUCCCCCACACUGGUACUGAGACACGGACCAGACUCCUACGGGAGGCAGCAGUGAGGAAUAUUGGUCAAUGGGCGCAAGCCUGAACCAGCCAUGCCGCGUGCAGGAAGACGGUCCUAUGGAUUGAAACUGCUUUUAUACAGGAAGAAACACUCCGACGUGUCGGAGCUUGACGGUACUGUAAGAAUAAGGAUCGGCUAACUCCGUGCCAGCAGCCGCGGU